ensembl:lncRNA
UUUAAUAAUAAUUAAGUUGAAAUUAUCUUUAACCCGUUAUGUACUCAGGUCUAGAAGCAUUAGUGUGACUAUUUUAAAGUCAGAUGUGUAUAAUUGUGUAUAAUAUGUAUGUGGAUACACUCACAAACAGAAAAUCUACCAAAAAUAUCUAUGAAUAUCGAUACAUAAGAUGUAUAAUACUACUGUUUUAACCCCCCACCUCAAUCAAGCAACAUUUAAAAAGUAAAAUAGUGAAAUGUUAGCUCUAUUUGCUGAAGUUUAGGCAUGUUGAGAUAACUUCAACAUUAACACAAGCAAAUAUUUGGUUAAUUAUGAACUGCUCAACCUGGAGCAUGUCUGCAAACUCAUAAUAAAGGGGGGGGACGCCUAAUUUGCAUAAUCAUAUUGGACAGCUGCCUUGCGCAUGUGCGAUUCACUUUCAGUCUAGACCCGUUUCACUUCUCUGCUAUGACUGCAGCUGGGUCACUGCGCGAGCCGCGAGGCUGAAGCCUAGUUUAUGAUUCUGCGUUUUCAGAGCGAUGCAAGGAAACACAGACGCAAGAGCCCCUUGCGUGUCCCUUGCGUGCCUUUUCACACCUCCUUGUGUGCGUCGACCCAUUUUUCUAGGCUUGCGUCAACGCAAGCCUCCUGCAGCGCACGAGGCUGCGAUUGGUCUGCUAACUACAUCCUUUACGGAGUCUCACAUUUCCGCUUUCAUAGCACAAUACCGCCAUUAUUAAAACGAGGAAUGUUUAUGAGAGAACGGAUCAGAUUGAAGAGCUUUUGUCGAAAGAAAUGCGUAAAUAUGACAACUUAUACAGCCCGUCAUUGGCGGACUUUAGGGACGCGCGGAUGGCCUCCCGAUUCCCGACACGUUUGUCCCAUAUCUUCCUCAACAACUUUGUGCACCCCUCUACCAGCAAACCGACGUUUGCAGAGAUCUCCCUCCAUGAAUCGGAGGCCAUCCGCGCGUCCUUAUAGUCCGCCAAUAAUGGGUUGUAGAAGUGGUCAUAUUUACGGACAAAAGCUCUUCAAUCUGCUUCAUUCUCUAGUAAACAUUCUUUGUUUUAAUAAUGGUGGUAUUGUGCUAUGAAAACGGAAAUGUGAGACUCCGUAAAGGAUGUAGUUAGCAGACCAAUCGCAGCCUUGCGGGCUGCAAGAGGCUUGCGUAGCUUUUGAUGCAAGCCUAGAAAAAAGUUCGUCCGCUUAAGCAAACACCCUUGUUUUCUUCCCGCGGUUGGGAGCGUACUCUUGUGUGCGUGCGUGUGUCUGUUUGAGGAAGGAAGGUCUCUAGGAAGAAGGGAGAUGGCGGGAGAGCAUGAUAAAAAGCGAAGGAUGGAGCAAAAUUAGGAGGCUAAGGGAAAGGAAAAGGAGGAAAUCUAGGCCUCCCUUUUUUCUAUCUACCAACUGAACCUCCCUUUCCAUUUCCCAUUUCAAUUUACCUCUUGCCUUUUAUCCAAUUGGCCACCAUGCUGACACUUCUCAUCUCAGUUCCGUGACCGGAGAAUAAGGGGAACAAAAUGUUGUUGCUCCAUAUACAAGCAAAUGUUAUGCUAAAGUGAUGGGUUCUCAUCAUGCCCUAACCUACAAUGAUGCUGGGAAACGGCGGAAGAGGAAGAGCAUGCCCCAUCUCCGUCCCGCCCUCCCCUAAUUUGCAUUGCAUGCUGAAAUGCAUGUACUGGGCCCAUUAACCAAGGGGCCGUGCUGUGUUUUGGUUGUAGACGAGGGCAGGGGGGCUGUCAUAUCUUUUGAUUUGCUUGAUAUGAAAACAGUGGUGGUUUCCAAUCAAUGGAACCUGUGGUUUAUUUGGGGUGAAAUGAGAUUUUUUUUAUUGGUAUGUUUGCAUCUUGAGGCAAUUUUCCAGCUCUAUUGUGGAAGACCCGGAAGCAUCCUCGCUUGAUUUUACAGUAAAUUUGUUAUGGGGCCAAUACGAGAGUUGAAAGUGAAUAUGGUUAUUUAUUUACAUGCAUAAACAAGCACACUUUGUUAGACACAUCUGAUGAUUGUUGUAACGGAGAUCCCGGCUGGCUAUAUAUGCUGGAGCCUUAUGUGAAGGAAGCUUAUCAGAAUGAUUAGGCGGAAGGAUGGGUGGCCUACCAGCGGCUUUACAAGUCACUGCAAUGGCAAAUAUAAUUUUGGAAUUAGAUGACACUCUGAGAAUGGUCUCAGAGUGUCAUCACAGUUUAAAUUAAAACGUCUUCCGGCCGAGCUUCCCCUAUAGAAGGCCAAACAGAGCCAGAAAAAAACAGCGAAAAACUAAUUUCUAACAAGAAUAUUGUGUACUCAUCACAAUCAAAUAUAUGAAUACUUCAGUGUUUAAAACUUUAGAGUCUUUGAAAAGACUCUAAACAAAACUCAAGUCAUAAAAUAUGAUUUUCAGAUUAGUCCAGAAAUGUGCACUUGGCAAUGCAUUUGUAACAUUUACACAGCAAAGCAAGAAUACCAAACCACUUUCUCUCAGACCAACCUUGCCAAAACCAAACAAAAAUAGUCACCAAGCAUCCUGCAUAUGAAUCAUAAAUGCUAUUAGCCAGUGUGAAAUUCAAUCAUUCACAUCAAUAGAAUUAUUAAUAAUCGCUAAGAUAAUUCACAAAAAAAUUUAAAUAACGGGGCACCACCCUGAAAAGGGACUAAUAACCAAACUAUAAAUAAAGUCUCAUAAUUGGUAUUUACUCAUUAAGAGCAAGAAAUUGAAGGUUUGAGUUUGUGCGUGUCACGGUUUUGGGUUAAAUGGUAAAUGGACUGUACUUGUAUAGCACUUUUCUAGUCUUCCGACCACUCAAAGCGCUUUAACACUACAUGACAUCAUUCAUACACAGUACACAGUGACACCUGCCCAUCAGUAACUAACAUUCAUACGCUGUAGUCGCAGCUACAGGAGCAAUGUUGGGUUAAGUGUCUUGCCCAAGGACACAUCGAAAUGGGGGGUUAGCCAGGACUGGGAUUAAACCCACAACCCUCUGAUUGGAGGACGACCGUGCUCCCCACUCACCCACAGUCGCCCGUCAAUGUCUGAUUUUAUUUUGUAGUUUCUUGCCUCUGUCCUCCCUGGGUCAUGUCACUUGUCCUGUCCUCCUCUGUGAUUGUCUGUCAUGUCAUGAUUGUUUCCACCUGUGUCCAAUCACCUGCACCUCCCUAGUGUAUUUAAGCCAUGUGUGUCUGUUGUCACUUGUCGCGUCAUUGUCUUUUGUCACGCAUGUCCCUGUCAAUCGUCUGGUCUGCCGCUCGUUCCUGCCUGCCUUUUUGCCCUUAGUUCCUGUGUGUUUUUGCCCGUUGGCCUUUUGCUUUUUGCCUGUUUUCACUCUUAAAGUCCUUUUUGUUUUCGAACUCUGUGUUUGAGUCCAGCCUUCCCACGCACCCCUGACAGAAUGACGUGACCAGUAAAGGACUCGGCAAAGUUUUUUCCCCGGGAAGAGUUCAGGGGAACCCGUCUGGCUAUGAGCGGUCCACACAAUCCUCGGCUGGCCAUCCGUAAUGGGGGAGAGGUCCUCCCCGGGAUUUCAUAUGAAUACAUGUACUACUCUGUCCCCUUCCGGAGCCCUUAGUAGGCAUCUGGGUCGCCCCUCUCACCAUCCGCCGCCCACCACGUGGUCUUCAGAGGCCAUUUCGUGGUCGUCUGGCGGCGAUACUCACUGGGAGCGGGUGAUGGACCUUGCGGUCCAACUCCAGGCCACCUACGCUCUCCACGCUCGGUCGCAGCGCAGAAUGUCCAGCGCUGGGCCGCAGCGACAUCCCGACCCUGCUGGGUCGCAGCGCACAACGUCCAGCGCUGGGCCGCAGCGACAUCCCGACCCUGCUGGGUCGCAGCGCACAACGUCCAGCACUGGGCCGCAGCAGCUUCCCGUCCCGACCCAAGCCCACGACCCCCGAGCCAGCGCCACGAUCAAUGCCCCCGGUACCGGCGCCACGAUCCAUGCCCCAGACCCCGGUACCGGCCCCACGAUCCAUGCCCCAGACCCCGGUACCGGCCCCACGAUCCAUGCCCCAGACCCCGGUACCGGCCCCACGAUCCAUGCCCCAGAUCCCGGUACCGGCCCCACGAUCCAUGCCCCAGAUCCCGGUACCGGCCCCACAAUCCAUGCCCGCGACCCGGCCUGUACCGGCCCCACGAUCCAUGCCCCCGGCCCCACGAUCCAUGCCCGCGACCCGGCCUGUACCGGCCCCACGAUCCAUGCCCCCGACCCGACCAGUACCGGCCUCACGUACCAUGCCCCCGACCCGACCAGUACCGGCCUCACGUACCAUGCCCCCAACCCGACCAGUACCGGCACACGUUCCAAGCCCCCGACCCCGGUCCGGCCCCACGACUCAUGGCCCCGACUCGGCCUGUACCGGCCCCGAGACUCGCCCCCGGACUCAGGCUCCCUCCCUCCCAUCCCGUGGUCCUCUCCCACCCUCCCUUUGGUGGCUUGGGGGCCGUCUGGGAUCCGGCCCUUGAGGGGGGGGCUAUGGCGGGGGCUCCGGAGGUGUUCCGUGUCCCCCAGCCGGAGGUUUCCAGUGUUUCCCAGGCGGCCAUCCCAGAGACGUUCAGUGCCCUGCAGUCGGCGCUCCGGAGCCGGCCAACUGACAGUCUGCCGGGCCGACCCCCUGAGGCUCCCCGGCCGUUUGCCUGUCCGCCGGGCCGACCCCCGGAGGCUCCCCGGCCGUUUGACUGCCUGCCGGGCCGCCCGCCAGAGUUCCCCCGGACGGCCUACCAUUGUCUGGUUUCCCUCCCUCCCGCCCCUUGUCUGUUCCUGGUCAGAUUAGGGCCAUCUGGAAUUUGGCCCUUGAGGGGGGAGUUCUGUCACGGUUUGGGGUUAAUGUCUGGUUUUAUUUUGUAGUUUCUUGCCUCUGUUCUCCCUGGGUCAUGUCACUUCAUGUCCUGUCCUCCUGUGAUUGUCAUGAUAAUUUCCACCUGUGUCCAAUCACCUGCACCUCCCUAGUGUAUUUAAGCCAUGUGUGUCUGUUUUGACUAUUAAAGUCCUUUUUGUUUUCGAACUCUGCGUCCUGCCUUUCCACGCAUCCCUGACAGUACGGUCUGUUUCCUUCCAGCAUUACAGUACACAUAAGAAAUCACAGAAAACUGCUGCUUAAAGUAUAACAGGGUUUAUUAUCUUCCAAUAACAAUAUAUAAGAACAUUCAUUCAUGCAUGUGUAGUGGAGGUGUGUGAGUUAAGGAGGGGAGAGCUCAGGAAGGGAGCUUGCUGCACGCUAAACUACCGACCCCAUGGCCAAUGUGUUGCUAGCAGGCUGUGUUUAUACACCACGUGUGUUCCUUACAUUUAAACCUCUGUCUGUAGGUAAAUCUAUGUGUGGAGGGACAGGUGUGUGUGUGUGUGUGUGUGUGUGUGUGUGUUAGUAAGUUAGAAAUCAAAGAAAGCAGAUCUCAUUCAGAACAGUGAGGCACGAUAGUGGUUAACUUUAUCACGUCACACAGUUCAAAAACAUACAAUCUCUUGUUAAACAAUACAUUAAAUACCAAAACAAAAAUAACGACACAUGCUAAUCUAACUUCUGCCCAGACUUCGCCUUACUGUGUGUUGAUGGGGUUGUCUGUUUCCUCGAGUUUCAUUUAACUGUGUCCAACCAGUCCAUCCCUUUUUUGCAGGGAUCGAUUUGGGAUUAUGAGGACUGUUGGGUUUCUUGGUGGCACAAAAGCUAUUGGUGCUCUUGUGUGCUCUUAACACACGUUGUAUCCAAGGGGGUAGUUUUCCUUCUUGGUGAGCUGCUUGGGCCAGAAGUGGGUACUGGAAAGCCGGACUUCUCUGGAGCAGCUAGAAAAUGGUUGGAGAGGCCCGAAUCCUUAAUCCUGAGGCCAGUCUGGAAAGUUGAUUUGAAAAGGCUGUCUUCAACCUCUCAUCGACACAGGUCGAUUCGGAAAAAUGUAUCAGUCCGGAAAGGGAUUUGAAGAGACUCUGUUGCCUCAUCCUUACACUGACCAGAGUCAGUUCGGAAAGGGAUUUGAGAGAUACUGUCUUUAACCUCACACCGACCUGAGGUUAGCUCAGAAUGAAAGUUUCGACGAGGGACCUCACAGAACACACCAGGGGGACCCCUGUGGUGUCUGUGGCUUGGCCAAUCCACCCAGAGAGAGAAAUCACACCUGGGUGUGAAGGCACAUUCCUUUCUGGGGUUUUAUGUCCUGCAGCAGAACACUGCAUUCAAAAGUCGGCCUUACUUUUACGCAAUGGUGGGAGCCCAACGUCAGACACUCUCACACAUUAAUUAAUGAAACAUUCUUACGUUCACUAUUGAAAUCUCUCACUCACUCACUCACACACUCACACAUACAUACAUACAUACAUACAUACAUACAUACAUACAUACUCUGUAAAACUAUGCACAGACAUUUAUAAAACAUUUUACAUACUAGUCUGAAAUACAUACUCGCUGGGGCAGCUGGUGGAUAUUUUUUUUGGUAGGGCCAGCCAAUCAGGUCAGUAAACAUCCCAGUAUUAUUCAAUGCAAAAAAGGCUAUUAGACAUGCAUUAUUACUUUGCAGUUAAAUACAUAACAUUUAUUCCAACAUCAGGACAUCUUAUUCAAAGAAUUUAGUAUAUUAAUAGAUGAUAUAUUCAGAAUAUGAUAUAACUUCCAUAUCGUAACUAUUAUAAUAAAGGAUAAAUAAAUUACAAUGAAAUAUAUUUAUAAAUAUAUAAAAUGUGUAUAUAUAACGUUAUAUAUAUUGAGAUGCAGCUUUGAUGUUGAGGAAAGAACAAAAGCCACACAAAACUUCGCACAAUAAAUCAUUUUGGAUAAGAUGUGCCUGUUUUCAUCCACGUCCUGGUUGUAUGUCCUCACCGCAGUCCCGUAUAUUGCAUAUUUAUUUAUAAUAUGGGUAGAUGAAAUCAAGCGUUCUGAUUCAUUGAGAGCGAGUCACGGGGUUUACUGAAUUGAGCCAUAAUGUACCUGUUUACAUUCUGAGUGUUCCAUAUCAGUGCGCAAUCAAAAUAACAGUUAGAUUUUGCGCAGCCGUUGCACGAUGCGUAAAACACAUGAACCAGACUAUGGGAUAGAGGUGUGUACAGACAUUACAUUGGCGACAUACAGAGGCAUUAAUUGUACAUGCUUAAAUUGAGCAGCUCAACCGGGUUUAUGAGGGAUUGCACAAUCCGAGAGGAGGCGCAGCUCGCCGCCCGCGUCUCCCCGUAUUUGAAGAGGUGAAUACACAGAAUAAUGUAUGUAUAUAUAUAUUAUUUUUAUUUGGCUGACACCUAUUAAAACCAGCAUACAAGCAAACACACAUAUAUAUAUACAAUUGUGAUAUCAUUAUAUGUAGUGUUUUUUUUUGUUAAUAUAGAAUAUAUAUAUAUUAUAUAUAUAAUAUAUAAUAAAUAAUAAUCUCAAUUUUAAACGGCAGUUUACAAAAGAUCAAUUUACCUCUUUGAGUAAGGUCUUUCUUUUGUUGUCUCUUUGGGCUUUUGUCUUGUUAUUUUGAGUCCACGACCCAUUAUAGGACAACAAUUUAGAUGAAACUGGGACUUUGGUCUAGUUAUUUUCGAUAAACAGAGUCCCAGAUCCAUUACAGGACAACAAUUUUGAUGAAACUGGGACUAAAAUUCUGCAGCAUCUCAAAUUUACAAAUGAUGGUUGGGAAUUUGAAUGCACGACGCAUGCUUAUACAAGGUAAAGGCUGGUGCAUACUUCUGAGUCUUUCAUGUGAAGGAAAGCGGAGGAGGGAGGAUGGGGAGGUUAAAGUGUAAUGGGAGGGGGACCUAAAUGGAGAUGGAGGGUGUAAUAAGGGGCCUUAAGGCUGGCGCGUGCUUCGGCGUCUGCGUCGUUGCGUCGAUGCACUCGUUUCAAUUCAUGGUUCUAAAAGGUGUGUGUUGCAGAGCAAUUCACUGCCAGAACAAUAUGUGGAGUAACGUUUUUUGUUGAAGAUGACCUACAGAGUUACGUCUUUGGUGUGGAAGUCGUUGGUUUGUUUAUUUAUUUAUCAUAGACUUUAUUGCCCCGUGCAUCGCCACUGUUGCUUUUCAUCGCAGACACAUUUGUCCCAUAUUUUCCUCCACAACUUUGUGAACCUCUCGACCGCCAAACCGACGUUUCCGGAGAUCUCCCUCCAUGAAUCAGAGGCCAUCCACGCGUCCUUUUAGUCCGCCAAUGACGGGUUGUAUAAGUUGUCAUAUUUACGCAUUUCUUCUGACAAAAGCUCUCAAUCUGAUCCCUUCUCUCGUAAACAGUCUUCUUUUAAUAAUGGCAGUAUUGUGCUAUGAAAACAGUAAUGUGAGACUCCGUAAAGGAUGUAGUUAGCAGAUCAAUCAGAGCCAUGCGGGCUGCAGGAGGCUUGCUUUCGACGCACGCAAGCACUUAAGGAGGUGUGAAAAGGCACGCAAGGGGCUCUUGCGUCUGCGUGUCCUUGCAUCUCUCUGAAAACGCAGAAGGAUAAACUAGGCUUGAGGGACAGUAGUCAUUAUUUGUUUGGGUAUUUACUUGUGCCAGUAUUGCAAUUAAGAGUAAAGGGGAUUGGUUCUUUAAACUUUUGCGGGGACUUUUAAGUGGUCUGUAUGCACAGGUCAGAUGGAAAAUAUUUUGAAAAUGAAAGUUUCGUUAUUGGAUUUGUUUACAGUCAAGCAGUGCCUUUUAGCGGUGCUGAUAUUGAUCUAUGGUGAUACCUUUCUUUCGCAGACGCCGCAUGGUGGGUUUAAUUGUGUACUUGAGUACCGCCAGGGCUGUAGUGGAGGGUAAACGCACGUAAACGCCGUUUACGCACCUCUAGAAUUUUGGAAAUAGCGUUUACGCCCCUAUAAAUAGCGUUUACGCACCUCAAAGUUCCCUUCUUCCGUUGGAAUAAUCCGAAAUAAACUUGGUGUAAUUUUAAAACAGCCAAGACUACGUUUCCUAUUGUUGAACAUAUAAACGGCGUAGUCUGAAUCAUUUUCAUCUGCGCUGUAUUACGGUCUGUGAGCAUCCAAUCAGUGCCUUGCGGCUGCAGCAGCGACACCGAUCAGGAUCCAGGAGGUGUGUAAACACAUACACGUUGUGGAUCAGCCCAGUGGUCCCCAACCUUUUUUACCUCACGGACCGGUUUCAUGUCAGACAAUAUUUCGCGGACCGGUCGAGAAGGUCCGACGGGGGGGGUGUAGUAGUCGUUGCGGGCGGAACGACCGACGGGGGGGGUAGUAGUCGCGCGAUCUGUGUUCGCUGGUCGUGCACGGUAAAAGGACAAGAAAAACGCCUGGUGACGCGUAGAUUAGAGAACAAGUCGGUUCUCAAUGUGAAAAAAAACAUGCUGUAUAGGCUAUUUAUGAUGACAUAGGUAGUACAUGAGUGUUCCUUUAACUUAUGUUGUCAGUGUAAUUGACAGGCUGCUUAACUGGUUAACUCUUAAAUUCAACAUAUUUUUUCAGGCAGUGAUAGGACAGGCAGUGAUGCAGAGAGCACAGGGAGAGGAGAAACACCAGGUCGAAUAGAGAGAGAAGCACAGAGGACCCAUGAACCUUGAGCCAUGGCUCCUCUGUGCAAGGCAGGACCUGACGUGAAGGACAAGGAGGCCCUCUGGGCACUACUGUAAAAAGGAGACUCCGUAUGUAGAUAGUUCUUAAUCUGCAAUUGUCUUGUUGACAUACUUUUCUUUACUGUUUUCUUAAAUUUAAUAAACUACAAACUACUAACACAUGUAUUCAUUGUCAUUGAUUGUAUAUGACUUUUACUGAUAACAUAAUGCAAUAUAGCCAGGACAGCCUUACAGAGUCGCGACGCUUUGUGUUGCGUUGCUUCGCAUCGCGUCGAGGUCUGUAUGAUCACAAAAUUCAGAGUUUACCCACCUCUAAUUUUACCACUACAGCACUGAGUACCGCCACCUACAACCCAGCAGCGACAGUCCUCAAAAGCUUUCUUGUGUGAGGUUGGAUAAAGACGGGGACAAUCAUGAUAUUGCAUGCAACAUGGUGGCCAACAGAGGACUGGACAGGAAUUCACUCAUUGCAUGACGUUGAAUUAGUUUGUUAAGUGAACUAUACAUAUUUAUUGAAGAGUUUUAAACUGUGAUCAGCUGAUAUUCCAACAGUGCAGUGUUAAUUUAGUCGACGAAACCAUGACGAAAUUUUUCAUUAACGACCUUUUUCCCCACGACUAAGACGUGACGAAAAUGGAUCUUUGAAAAUAAAAACUAUGACUAAAUCUAUUUUAACUUUCGUUAACGAGACGAGACAAAAAUGUUGGUUUUUGACGAAGUCACAAUAGAUUUUUUUCCUAAAUUUGCCUGCACCUAACAUCAUUGGUUGAAUGUCUAUUUGGGCAAUUGUUAUUAUCAUUGGCACCACUUACCACUGUCAAAUCUAGCCGUGUAGCUAAAUCAGAUUGCACAGCUAUUCGUUCGUUCCAGGCAGGAACUAUUAUGCAGUUGUAGACACAACACAGGGGGUCGCUGGGCCUGAGAAGGGAAGAAAAGGAGUUUAAUAUUGCAAUUAAAUGUGAAUAAAACUAGACUAAAACUAAUUACAUUUUAGUCUAGUUUUCAAAGAAAAAAUAGCGAUCCUCGUCAUGCAUAUCCCAAGGACAGAGAUUUUUAUUACACGAUAUCAGCGGAGCCUUAACUUCCCCGACAAAAUGCCGUUAAAGAAGGCUUCCACGACGGUGCCCUCUGCCCAGGAUAGCACAAAAAUAAACUAAAAUAACAAACAUUACAACUAACGGGCACUCGUAAAGCUCUGAUAAUUUUAUCGAAUACUUUAUCAAAUCGAUCAAUCUUGACGCGCAGUGCAGACCUACACUUGUCAAACAAUCGCUCACCGCCAAUACUUCAACCUGGCCUACUUUAACCACGGCCAAGGUACAAAUUUACCUAAUUGUUCUCCUCCUCUCACGCACCAACAAAAUAAAUAAAUAAACCAAUUGUUCCAAACGCAAUUGAUUUUCACCUUAAUCCGCGUGCGUCUUCCCAAAAAAACACGUUCAAAUCAAUGAACGAUCAAAAGCACUUUCCGAAUCAUCCAUCCAUCCAUUGUCAAACCGCUUAUCCUGCACACAG